ACCCAAUCCUGACACAGGGAGGUAGUGACAAGAAAUAAAAAGCAAGCCCUUAGGGGCGCUGCGUUGGAAUGAGUAGAAUUUAAAUCUCUUUACGACUAUCGAUUGGAGGGCAAGUCUGGUGCCAGCAGCCGCGGUAAUUCCAGCUCCAAUAGCGUAUAUUAAAGUUGUUGCGGUUAAAAAGCUCGUAGUUGGAUUUCUGUUGAGGUCGGGCGGUGUACACCUCGUGUAUUAUUUGCUCCGGUCUCGGCAUCCUCUUGGGGAACGUUUCAGGACUUUAUUGGACUGGGCGAGAUUCAAGACUUUUACUUUGAGGAAAUUAGAGUGUUCACGGCAGGCAAGUGCUUUGAAUACAUUAGCAUGGAAUAAUAAUAUAGGACCUUCGUUCUAUUUUGUUGGUUUCUAGAACUUAGGUAAUGAUUAAUAGGGACAAUUGGGGGCAUUCGUAUUAACGCGUCAGAGGUGGAAUUCUUGGAUUGCGUUACGACGAACUACUGCGAAAGCAUUUGCCAAAGAUGUUUUCAUUGAUCAAGAACGAAAGUAUGGGGAUCGAAGACGCUUAGAUACCGUCGUAGUCUAUACCAUAAACUAUGCCAACUAGAGAUCGGUGGGGUUAUCCUAUGUGGCUCCAUCGGCAUCUUAUGAGAAAUCAAAGUUUUUGGGUUCCGGGGGGAGUAUGGUCGCAAGGCUGAAACUUAAAGGAAUUGACGGAAGGGCACCACCAGGAGUGGAGCCUGCGGCUUAAUUUGACUCAACACGGGAAAACUCACC
rnacentral:rRNA from 1 species